CCUACGGGUGGCAGCAGUGAGGAAUAUUGGUCAAUGGGCGCGAGCCUGAACCAGCCAAGUAGCGUGAAGGAUGACUCCCCUACGGGUUGUAAACUUCUUUUAUAAAGGAAUAAAGUGAUGCCCGUUUGCCUUUUUGUAUGUACUUUAUGAUUAACGUCCGGCUAACUCCUUCCAAGCAUCCGCGGUAAUACGGAGGAUCCGACCGUUUUCCGGCUUUAUUGGGUUUAAGGGUACCUUGGAUGGGUUGUUACGUAAGUUGUGAAAGUUUGCGCCUCAACCGUAAAAGUGCAAUUGAUACUGGCAGGCUGGAGUACAGUUGAGGUAGGCGGAAUUCGUGGUGUAGCGGUGAAAUGCUUAGAUAUCACGAAGAACACCGAUUGCGAAGGCAGCUUACGAAACUGCAACUGACAUUGAUGCUCGAAAGUGUGGGUAUCAAACAGGAUUAGAUACCCCUGUAGUC
rnacentral:rRNA from 1 species